GGUUAAGCGACUAAGCGUACACGGUGGAUGCCCUGGCAGUCAGAGGCGAUGAAGGACGUGCUAAUCUGCGAUAAGCGUCGGUGAGGUGAUAUGAACCGUUAUAACCGGCGAUUUCCGAAUGGGGAAACCCAGUGUGUUUCGACACACUAUCAUUAACUGAAUCCAUAGGUUAAUGAGGCGAACCGGGGGAACUGAAACAUCUAAGUACCCCGAGGAAAAGAAAUCAACCGAGAUUCCCCCAGUAGCGGCGAGCGAACGGGGAGGAGCCCAGAGCCUGAAUCAGUGUGUGUGUUAGUGGAAGCGUCUGGAAAGGCGUGCGAUACAGGGUGACAGCCCCGUACACAAAAAUGCACAUAUUGUGAGCUCGAUGAGUAGGGCGGGACACGUGGUAUCCUGUCUGAAUAUGGGGGGACCAUCCUCCAAGGCUAAAUACUCCUGACUGACCGAUAGUGAACCAGUACCGUGAGGGAAAGGCGAAAAGAACCCCGGCGAGGGGAGUGAAAAAGAACCUGAAACCGUGUACGUACAAGCAGUGGGAGCCUCUUAAUGGGGUGACUGCGUACCUUUUGUAUAAUGGGUCAGCGACUUAUAUUCUGUAGCAAGGUUAACCGAAUAGGGGAGCCGAAGGGAAACCGAGUCUUAACUGGGCGUUAAGUUGCAGGGUAUAGACCCGAAACCCGGUGAUCUAGCCAUGGGCAGGUUGAAGGUUGGGUAACACUAACUGGAGGACCGAACCGACUAAUGUUGAAAAAUUAGCGGAUGACUUGUGGCUGGGGGUGAAAGGCCAAUCAAACCGGGAGAUAGCUGGUUCUCCCCGAAAGCUAUUUAGGUAGCGCCUCGUGAAUUCAUCUCCGGGGGUAGAGCACUGUUUCGGCAAGGGGGUCAUCCCGACUUACCAACCCGAUGCAAACUGCGAAUACCGGAGAAUGUUAUCACGGGAGACACACGGCGGGUGCUAACGUCCGUCGUGAAGAGGGAAACAACCCAGACCGCCAGCUAAGGUCCCAAAGUCAUGGUUAAGUGGGAAACGAUGUGGGAAGGCCCAGACAGCCAGGAUGUUGGCUUAGAAGCAGCCAUCAUUUAAAGAAAGCGUAAUAGCUCACUGGUCGAGUCGGCCUGCGCGGAAGAUGUAACGGGGCUAAACCAUGCACCGAAGCUGCGGCAGCGACACUAUGUGUUGUUGGGUAGGGGAGCGUUCUGUAAGCCUGUGAAGGUGGCCUGUGAGGGUUGCUGGAGGUAUCAGAAGUGCGAAUGCUGACAUAAGUAACGAUAAAGCGGGUGAAAAGCCCGCUCGCCGGAAGACCAAGGGUUCCUGUCCAACGUUAAUCGGGGCAGGGUGAGUCGACCCCUAAGGCGAGGCCGAAAGGCGUAGUCGAUGGGAAACAGGUUAAUAUUCCUGUACUUGGUGUUACUGCGAAGGGGGGACGGAGAAGGCUAUGUUGGCCGGGCGACGGUUGUCCCGGUUUAAGCGUGUAGGCUGGUUUUCCAGGCAAAUCCGGAAAACCAAGGCUGAGGCGUGAUGACGAGGCACUACGGUGCUGAAGCGACAAAUGCCCUGCUUCCAGGAAAAGCCUCUAAGCAUCAGGUAACAUCAAAUCGUACCCAAAACCGACACAGGUGGUCAGGUAGAGAAUACCAAGGCGCUUGAGAGAACUCGGGUGAAGGAACUAGGCAAAAUGGUGCCGUAACUUCGGGAGAAGGCACGCUGAUAUGUAGGUGAAGCGACUUGCUCGUGGAGCUGAAAUCAGUCGAAGAUACCAGCUGGCUGCAACUGUUUAUUAAAAACACAGCACUGUGCAAACACGAAAGUGGACGUAUACGGUGUGACGCCUGCCCGGUGCCGGAAGGUUAAUUGAUGGGGUUAGCGGUAACGCGAAGCUCUUGAUCGAAGCCCCGGUAAACGGCGGCCGUAACUAUAACGGUCCUAAGGUAGCGAAAUUCCUUGUCGGGUAAGUUCCGACCUGCACGAAUGGCGUAAUGAUGGCCAGGCUGUCUCCACCCGAGACUCAGUGAAAUUGAACUCGCUGUGAAGAUGCAGUGUACCCGCGGCAAGACGGAAAGACCCCGUGAACCUUUACUAUAGCUUGACACUGAACAUUGAGCCUUGAUGUGUAGGAUAGGUGGGAGGCUUUGAAGUGUGGACGCCAGUCUGCAUGGAGCCGACCUUGAAAUACCACCCUUUAAUGUUUGAUGUUCUAACGUUGGCCCGUAAUCCGGGUUGCGGACAGUGUCUGGUGGGUAGUUUGACUGGGGCGGUCUCCUCCUAAAGAGUAACGGAGGAGCACGAAGGUUGGCUAAUCCUGGUCGGACAUCAGGAGGUUAGUGCAAUGGCAUAAGCCAGCUUGACUGCGAGCGUGACGGCGCGAGCAGGUGCGAAAGCAGGUCAUAGUGAUCCGGUGGUUCUGAAUGGAAGGGCCAUCGCUCAACGGAUAAAAGGUACUCCGGGGAUAACAGGCUGAUACCGCCCAAGAGUUCAUAUCGACGGCGGUGUUUGGCACCUCGAUGUCGGCUCAUCACAUCCUGGGGCUGAAGUAGGUCCCAAGGGUAUGGCUGUUCGCCAUUUAAAGUGGUACGCGAGCUGGGUUUAGAACGUCGUGAGACAGUUCGGUCCCUAUCUGCCGUGGGCGCUGGAGAACUGAGGGGGGCUGCUCCUAGUACGAGAGGACCGGAGUGGACGCAUCACUGGUGUUCGGGUUGUCAUGCCAAUGGCACUGCCCGGUAGCUAAAUGCGGAAGAGAUAAGUGCUGAAAGCAUCUAAGCACGAAACUUGCCCCGAGAUGAGUUCUCCCUGACUCCUUGAG
rnacentral:rRNA from 1 species